CAGUAGCCGCGGUAAGACAGAGGAUGCAAGCGUUAUCCGGAAUGAUUGGGCGUAAAGCGUCUGUAGGUGGCUUUUCAAGUCCGCCGUCAAAUCCCAGGGCUCAACCCUGGACAGGCGGUGGAAACUACCAAGCUGGAGUACGGUAGGGGCAGAGGGAAUUUCCAGUGGAGCGGUGAAAUGCGUUGAGAUCGAAAAGAACACCAACAGCGAAAGCACUCUGCUGGGACGACACUGACACUAAGAGACGAAAGCUAGGGGAGCAAAUGGGAUUAGAUACCCGUGUAGUCCCUGUCUCUUAUAC
rnacentral:rRNA from 1 species